CUUUGAUCCCCACGGCACACAGCCACUUUUGCCACACAUGCAGCUGUUCUCUCAACAUGGGAUGAACACUCUGAAGUAGUAUUACGUGUCACCUUCAAUGGGAUACAGGGUGCUCAGGCACCUGGUAAAGCAUCAUUUCUAUGGAUGUGAGAUAAUUUUCAGAAGAAAUUGACAUUUGAAAUCAGCAGGCUGAGAAAAGAUGUUCCCUCAUUCUUGUGGGUAUGCACCAUCUAAUUUGUUGAGACCUGAGACAGAACAAAAAGUCAUAAAGGGGCCUAAUGUAAGAUGCCUUCCUUCUGAGAAAAUAAAUGCAGUGAGAAUCCUGCCUCCCUAUAAGCUUUACUCUUUCUCUUGAGGACCUCUCACUGCCUCUCCCCUCCUCCUGUUCAUGCAUACUAUUCACAGAAGUCCAUUCUGCCUGAAGAGU